GUAGACACAUUCCAGCCAAUCAGCAGCAGACCCUCCCUCCCAGACUCUCCCACCUCCUGGACAGCUCACUAAGAAUGCAGCUUCACAAUGAAUGUAAAAUGGAUGCUGUCCAGGAGGUGGGAGGGUCUGGGAGGGAGGGUCUGCUGCUGAUUGGCUGGAAUGUGUCUG